AUGGGAAAGAAAAUCCAGUACGCGGUGGUGGCGCGGGGCGCCGUGGUGCUGGCGGAGCACGGCGCGGGGGGCACCACCACCAACGCGGGCGCCGUCGCGCGGCAGAUCCUCGAGCGCCUCCACGCCGCCGGCGGAGGUGCCGCCGCCGACUGCCGCGUCUCCUACACCCAGGGCCUCUACGUCUUCCACGUCAUGCGCGCCGACGGCCUCACCGCGCUCUGCAUGACCGACGACGACGCCACCGCCGCGUCAGGACGACGGAUUCCCUUCGCGUUUCUUGAAGACAUCCAUGGAAAGUUUGUCAAGACGUAUGGUCGUGCAGCUCUCACGGCUCUUGCUUACGCGAUGAACGACGAGUUCUCGAGGGUUUUGAGCAAGCAAAUGGACUACUAUUCAAACGACCCCAACGCCGAUUGCAUAACCCGCAUGAAGGGUGAAAUGGAUCAGGUGAGGAGUAUUAUGAUUGAUAACAUCGACAAGGUGCUCGAGAGAGGCGAUCGUCUGGAGAUGUUAGUCGACAAGACCACAACUAUGCAAGGAAACACGAUGCGGUUCAAGCGGCAAGCUCGCCGUUUCAGGAACACUGUGUGGUGGAGAAAUGUGAAGCUCACAGCCGCGGUGAUCCUCAUCCUACUGGCGAUCAUAUACAUUGUGCUGGCCUACAUGUGCCACGGCUUCACCCUGCCCUCCUGCGUCCGCUAA
rnacentral:rRNA from 1 species